AGAUGACCUAUCUCUUAGUCUUCUUCUUCCCCACUUUUUUUUUUUAAGGAAAAUGCGUGUUGGUUUUGAUCUAAAAUAUUGAAUGUAUUUGGUCAGUUGUAAGCACCUGGCAGAAAGGGCCUUCUGCGAAUUCCAUUAGUACAGAAUCGAAUCAUACCACAUGUUAGUGUUUGAAAAUUUAUUCCAUCCAUUCUACGCAGACCUGAGG
rnacentral:lncRNA from 1 species